rnacentral:rRNA from 1 species
AUUGAACGCUGGCGGCAUGCCUUACACAUGCAAGUCGAACGGCAGCACGGGUGCUUGCACCUGGUGGCGAGUGGCGAACGGGUGAGUAAUACAUCGGAACGUACCUUAUCGUGGGGGAUAACGCAGCGAAAGCUGUGCUAAUACCGCAUACGCCCUGAGGGGGAAGGCGGGGGAUCGAAAGACCUCGCGCGAUUAGAGCGGCCGAUGCCUGAUUAGCUUGUUGGUGGGGUAAAAGCCCACCAAGGCGACGAUCAGUAGCUGGUCUGAGAGGACGAUCAGCCAAACUGGGACUGAGACACGGCCCAGACUCCUACGGGAGGCAGCAGUGGGGAAUUUUGGACAAUGGGGGCAACCCUGAUCCAGCAAUGCCGCGUGAGUGAAGGAGGCCUUCGGGUUGUAAAGCUCUUUUGUCAGGGAAGAAACACCGGCUCUAACACAGUCCGGGAAUGACGGUACCUGAAGAAUAAGCACCGGCUAACUACGUGCCAGCCGCCGCGGUAA